CAAGAAAAGUCCAAAAUCCAUUUCCAGGGCAGAGGCCUGAGACGGAGAAAGGAGUGCUGGCCCCGCAGCGAGCUGAGAGCUGACGGUGGCUACAACAGGGCUUCCCCGGCCGAACCGGAACCGGGCGUCCAGAGCCUGGGAGCCGGACCAGCCACUGAAACGAUGAAAACACGGAGGGGAAGAGGCCGUUUCUGCAGUUUCCCAACUGCGCCGGUCCUGGGAGCGGCCUCCCAUAACGAGCAGCAGCCCUGGCCCGGCCUGAAAGGCGAACAUGCCCAGCGUCUGGCCUCCGCCGCGCAGCCCCAGCUCCCUGCCUGACACACACAUGGUCGCGCCCCACCGACGAUUUGAAAGGUCGCAUUUUGCCCCUGUUACAACUCCCCCUCUUCUCAUUAAAAAAAAAAAAGAAAUAAUAAAAUACAAACUCGC
rnacentral:lncRNA from 1 species